rnacentral:rRNA from 1 species
UACGGGGGGGGCAAGCGUUGUUCGGAAUUACUGGGCGUAAAGGGUUCGUAGGUGGCCUACUAAGUCAGACGUGAAAUCCCUCAGCUUAACUGGGGAACUGCGUCUGAUACUGGGGGGCUUGAGGACAGGAGAGGAACGCGGAAUUCCAGGUGUAGCGGUGAAAUGCGUAGAUAUCUGGAGGAACACCGGUGGCGAAGGCGGCAUCCUGGACCGGUAUUGACACUGAGGCGCGAAAGCCAGGGGAGCAAACGGG